rnacentral:rRNA from 1 species
UACGUAGGGUGCAAGCGUUAAUCGGAAUUACUGGGCGUAAAGCGUGCGCAGGCGGUUUUGUAAGUCAGAUGUGAAAUCCCCGGGCUUAACCUGGGAAUGGCAUUUGGGACUGCAAGGCUGGAGUUUGGCAGAGGAGACUGGAAUUCCUGGUGUAGCAGUGAAAUGCGCAGAUAUCAGGAGGAACACCGGUGGCGAAGGCGGUUCUCUGGGCAUGAUCUGACGCUGAGGAGCGAAAGUGUGGGGAGCGAACAGG